rnacentral:tRNA from 1 species
GCCCGUUUGGCUUAGGGGUACAGCGUCGCACUCGUAAUUUCUGCGUCAUGCGAAGAUCCGCGGUUCGAUUCCGCGAAUGGGCA